UGGCGGUAGGCUUAACACAUGCAAGUCGAGCGGUAACAGGCAUUUUGAUUCAGUUUGCUGAAUCUCGCGCUGACGAGCGGCGGACGGGCGAGUAACGCGUAGGAAUCUACCUAGUAGAAGGGGAUAGCCCGGGGAAACUCGGAUUAAUACCGUAUACGUCCUUAGGGAGAAAGAGGGCUUAGCUUUGAUGCUCUCGCUAUUAGAUGAGCCUGCGUAAGAUUAGCUUGUUGGUGAGGUAAAGGCUCACCAAGGCUACGAUCUUUAGCUGGUCUGAGAGGACGAUCAGCCACAUUGGGACUGAGACACGGCCCAGACUCCUACGGGAGGCAGCAGUGGGGAAUAUUGGACAAUGGGCGCAAGCCUGAUCCGGCCAUACCGCGUGUGUGAAGAAGGCCUUCGGGUUGUAAAGCACUUUAAGUAAGGAAGAAAAGUAUAUUGUUAAUACCAAUGUACCGUGACAUUACUUACAGAAUAAGGACCGGCUAAUUCCGUGCCAGCAGCCGCGGUAAUACGGAAGGUCCAAGCGUUAAUCGGAAUUACUGGGCGUAAAGCGCGCGUAGGUGGUUUAUUAAGUUGGGUGUGAAAGCCCCGGGCUCAACCUGGGAACUGCAUCCAAAACUGAUUCACUAGAGUACGAAAGAGGGAGGUAGAAUUCACAGUGUAGCCGGUGGAAUGCGUAGAUAUUGUGAAGAAUACCAAUGGCGAAGGCAGCCUCCUGGUUCUGUACUGACACUGAGGUGCGAAAGCGUGGGUAGCGAACAGGAUUAGAUACCCUGGUAGUCC
rnacentral:rRNA from 1 species